GGAAUAAAAGUCGUAACAAGGUUUCCGUAGGUGAACCUGCGGAAGGAUCAUUAUUGUAUAACCGAGGUGCGAGGGCUGUCGCUGACCCGAAAGGUCGUGCACGCCCGAGUGCCCUCACACACAUCCAUCUCACCCCUAUGUGCACCACCGCGUGGGUCCCCCUUUGGCUUGUUCGGAGGGGGGCUUACGUUUUCACACAUACUUUGUAUGCAGUGUAGAAUGUAUUUUUUGUUUUUGCGAUCACGCAAUCAAUACAACUUUCAACAACGGAUCUCUUGGCUCUC
rnacentral:misc_RNA from 1 species